rnacentral:rRNA from 1 species
GUAGGUGGCAAGCGUUGUCCGGAAUUAUUGGGCGUAAAGCGCGCGCAGGCGGUUCUUUAAGUCUGAUGUGAAAGCCCACGGCUCAACCGUGGAGGGUCAUUGGAAACUGGAGAACUUGAGUACAGAAGAGGAAAGCGGAAUUCCACGUGUAGCGGUGAAAUGCGUAGAGAUGUGGAGGAACACCAGUGGCGGAGGCGGCUUUCUGGUCUGUAACUGACGCUGAGGCGCGAAAGCGUGGGGAGCAAACAGGAUUAGAUACCCUGGUAGUCCACGCCGUAAACGAUGAGUGCUAAGUGUUAGGGGGUUUUCCGCCCCCCUUAGUGCUGCAGCUAACGCAUUAAGCACUCCGCCUGGGAUACGGCCGCAAGGCUG